rnacentral:rRNA from 1 species
ACGUGAUCUGAGUUCAGACCGGAGUAAUCCAGGUCAGUUUCUAUCUAUAAAGAGCCUUUUCUAGUACGAAAGGACCGAAAAGACAAGGCCCAUAUCUACAACAAGCCUUACUUGCCAAUUUGUGUAUUAAACUUAACAACUUAGCAAACUCCAACAAAACUCAAGAUAAGAAAA